AGGGAAUCUUCGGCAAUGGACGAAAGUCUGACCGAGCAACGCCGCGUGAGCGAAGAAGGCCUUCGGGUCGUAAAGCUCUGUUGUUACAGAAGAACAUGGGUGAGAGUAACUGUUCACCCCUUGACGGUAUCUAACCAGAAAGCCACGGCUAACUACGUGCCAGCAGCCGCGGUAAUACGUAGGUGGCAAGCGUUGUCCGGAAUUAUUGGGCGUAAAGCGCGCGCAGGCGGUCUCUUAAGUCUGAUGUCAAAGCCCUCGGCUCAACCGGGGAGG
rnacentral:rRNA from 1 species